UCGAGAAUCUUCGGCAAUGGGGGAAACCCUGACCGAGCGACGCCGCGUGCGAGAUGAAGGCCUUCGGGUUGUAAAUCGCUGUCAGUGGGGAGGAAAUGCCGGUGGGUUCUCCCGCCGGUUUGACCUAUCCGCAGAGGAAGGACGGGCUAAGUUCGUGCCAGCAGCCGCGGUAAUACGGACCGUCCAAACGUUAUUCGGAAUCACUGGGCUUAAAGGGUGCGUAGGCGGCCCGGCAAGUUGGGUGUGAAAGCCCUCGGCUCAACCGAGGAAUUGCGCCCAAAACUACCGGGCUAGAGGAAGACAUAGGUGAGCGGAACUUAGGGUGGAGCGGUGAAAUGCGUUGAGAUCCUAAGGAACACCAGUAGCGAAAGCGGCUCACUGGGUCUUUUCUGACGCUGAGUGCACGAAAGCUAAGGUAGCAAACG
rnacentral:rRNA from 1 species